rnacentral:lncRNA from 1 species
GCCGAGGAGACCGUGUGGCCCAGUGUGUACGGGGGAGGAGGGCGGGGCCGGGCUCGGCUCCGGCAACCAUUGGAGCGCCUCGAGCUGGGUGGACCGGAAACUACAUUUCCCAGGAAUCAUAGCGGGUAAGGGCCGGAAAGGGCGGCCCGAGACCCAGUGCGCACGCGCACCAGCAGCCUGUGCCUAUAUAAGGAAGGU